AUGGGUGAUUUGGCUUCUGAUUCUGAAAAAUUACCCAUGGAGGGUCACGGUAUGUCUUCUGUCUGCAAGGAUGACAUAGCUCUGCUAGAGGAGGCACUUCCUCCAGCGGGGCAGGCUCCACGUUCAUGUGUGGAACUCCAUCAUAGCCAGAAAGGAACUCAUAAACAAGGCAGGGAUGUUGGUUCUUUGGAGACUGAAGUGGAUACUUCAGGUUCUCCCAGCUCAGGAAUAAAGAGAGGCAAAGGAGGUGAUGGGAGCUCCCAUGCAAUCUCCAAUCACAUUGAACCAAAGGAAUCUUCAACUUAUGAGCGUUCGUCGUCCUUUCCGUCGACGUCAAGGCUUCUCGUCUCCGCUAUGAAAGGAGGCCGUGAGAGAAGUGGUGAAACAUCGCCAACUGGAGUCCGCCACGUUAAUUGGGCCCCAGAUGUGUACGACCCCCCGGUCACCUCUGUCGACCACACGGUGAAGGGCCACCAACAGCGCUCCAGGUCCAGGAAGAAGGACAAGGGCAAGCAGAAACAGAAGCAGAAGAAGAGGAAGUCGCGUGGGAACAGCAAGAAGAGCGGCGGCCUCCACGACGCCGCCCACAACCCGCUUGCUCUCGACGUGCCCGGGCCGUCUUCGCCUGAAGAACUAGGCUUAGGGGAAGUGGAGGAGGCCGAGGUGCUGGACUACAGCGCCUUCGACAGUCAGGAGCCCAAGUGCGGAGGCGGCUUCCCACGCGAGAUCGCCGCGGCGCGGACGUGUUUCCCCGCCGCCGAGGCGUCAUGA
rnacentral:rRNA from 1 species